AGCUCCAAUAGCGUAUAUUUAAUUUGUUGUGGUUAAAAAGCUCGUAGUUGGAUUUCGGCGGGGAUUGGUCGGUUUUAAUUGCUUUAAUAAUGACUUUUUUACCCGGGUGGUUUGCCAGAAUUUUACGGGGGAACUUAAACGUUUUUCCGUUAGAACUGGCUGGUUUACUUUGAAAAAAUUAGAGUGCUCAAAGCAAGCUUGACUGCUUGAAUAUUCGUGCAUGGAAUAAUAGAAUAGGAAGUUGUUUCUAUUUUGUUGGUUCUCGGAAAUCGACUUAAUGAUUAAUAGGGAUAGUCGGGGGCAUUUGUAUUCAAACGACAGAGGUGAAAUUCUUGGACCGUUUGAAGACAAACUACUGCGAAAGCAUUUGCCAAGAAUGUUUUCA
rnacentral:rRNA from 1 species